rnacentral:rRNA from 1 species
UACGUAGGGUGCAGGCGUUAAUCGGAAUUACUGGGCGUAAAGCGUGCGCAGGCGGCUCCUUAAGUCAGAUGUGAAAUCCCCGGGCUUAACCCUGGGAACUGCGUUUGAAACUGAGGGGCUAGAGUGUGGAAGAGGGGGGGUGGAAUUCCAGGUGUACGCAGUAGAAUGCGUAGAGAUCUGGAGGAACACCGAUGGCGAAGGCGAGUCCCUGGACAACACCUGACACUGAGGCACGAAAGCUAGGGGAGCAAACAGG